CGCCCACAGCCGGCGCCCGGGAGGGCGGAAGUGACGGACCGGGAGGGCGGAAGUGACCAGCCGGAGCGCCCCGCCGCCGGCGCCGGAGCCCCGUGGUCCUCGCGCUAUGGCCGCGCGUGGCCGGCAGAUCUUUGAUUGGCACCGCUUUCUUCCCCUCACCUGGACCCACGCUGCUAGGCAGACUCUUCACUCCCGAGAACAGAAGAGGUCAGCUGCAUUUUGGUUGCGUAAACUGACUGUGGCCUCCAGUGGAGGGAGCUUGGAGGAAUUUUCCUGUGUCAGGUCCAAAAAGUAUGUGCAGGAACCAGAACGCAGGGCAGAUCUCACUCAGUGCCUCCUCGAGAAGCCUCUGGUGGAUCAGGGGUCCUCGGGGCUGGAGAACGUCGUCACUUCCCUUCGGGACAUGGGUUUCAGUGACGCCCAUGUUGGUGAGUUGCUCAGCGUGCAGCCAGGUACCAGUCCUCAACGGCUGCUGGACAUUGUUUCAGAAUUAAUACUCCUGGGUCUGAAUGCAGAGCCUGUGCAUGUGGCCUUGAAGAAAAACCCCCAGUUACUGAAGCUGCCUCUAGCACAGAUGAAGAAGCGCUCCAGUUACCUGCGAAAGCUCGGCCUUGGAGAAGGGAAACUAAAGAGGGUACUUCAGUGUUGCCCUGAAAUUUUCACCAUGCGUCAGCAGGACAUUGAUGACAUUGUUGGGGUUCUCAAGGAGAAGUGUCUUUUCACCGUACAGCAAGUAACUGAGAUUCUGCACAGGUGCCCCUAUGUUCUUCAGGAGGACCCCGGUGAACUGGAAUACAAAUUCCAGAUUGAGAACAGCAGCGUGCGCAUCACUAGAUCGUUCAGGCCACUGCGCUCCGUGGAACCGUCCCCAGAAUGCACCUCGCAGGCGCGGACAGACAGCCGGACGCCGUUUUAAAACUCACCGGGAGUAUGUGCUUUUCUGCGUGGAUGUGCCGACAGUCUGAGAAAUGGCUGGGAGGAAGACCACGGAGGACAGCGCCCCUCCCCCGCAUCGGGUCAGGGGUCACACCAGCGACGACACUCAUCGGAGCUGAUGUUGACCUCGACCAGGUGGCUGAGCCGUGCCGGUCGGGUUUCUCCGUGGAAAAUCGCCCCUUCUUCCACUUUCUGUCCAUCGGUGCCCUUGGGAAGGAAGUCGCUCAUGCAGCCCGCGCCGAAGGAGGGGGGCGGCCCCUGCCCAGACCAGGUGCAGGUGACUGGAGGAUAAAAGCUGGGUCACCUGAAGCCCUGCUGGGAGAGAAAUGGGAAAACAGAAGCAGCAGACUGGCCUGGUGUUCACCCCUCACCCCUGCCCGUGCCAGCCCCCACGAUGAGCCACCAUCUCUCCCGGAGCCUGCGGCCAGCCCUGUCCUGAGAGCCAGCUGCUCCCGUGGCGCCUGGUUUCCUUGAGGAAGAAAAGUCUAGCGGGUUCCGGGGAGGAGCUGAUCCCACAUGGAAACAGGGACAAACCCGUCCUCCGGCAACAGCCAUUCAGGAUGGAGGAUGAAGCGGAUGAAUAGUUAGAACUGAAGGGGACAGGAACUCUGAGCCUCGGACUUUUUAUCCAGCCAAAUUGUCUUUCAAAUGCGAGGGAUAGGAAGAAUUUUUUCAGGCAGGCAGGGCCUCAGAAGUUUGGGCAUGUAAAGUCCCAACAGGUGUGUGGUAGAACUUGCCAGGCUCACUGUGGACCCUACAGAAAUGCAGAGGCCCAGGGAGCCCACGUGCCCCCGAAGGACAAGGCGGCGAGACUCGCCCCGUGCAUCCGCCCAGCUAGAGGAAGACGAUGGCCCGGAAGGACGAGCCCUACAGACACCCAGGCAGAGACGGACAGAUGGACACGCAGUUCACCACUGAGGGCGGCUCUGCAGUGCAGUGGGGAAAGGGUCUAGGAUAAUGAGGGGCAUAGAGAGAAAAAGCUAAAUGCACAAAUAAAUUCCAGGGAAUAGUUAUAGGUCUGUGUUUAAA